AUGCUCGCUUCAGCAGCACAUAUACCAAAAUCGGAACCAAACAGAGAUCAGCAUGGUCCCUGCACAAGGAUGACAUGCAAAUUCGUGAAGUGUCCCAUGUUUUA
rfam:Myotis brandtii contig163684, whole genome shotgun sequence.